GAACUGAGCAGGGUGGGUCAUCUGAAAAGGUCAUGUGGAUCAUGAAGGUGGAUUCCCACAUGAAGCUUAUCCAUUUGCUCUCCAGAUGUGCUGACCCCUGCAAUUUCCUCAAAUGUGGGAAACCUGGCUGCAUCAUUUGUGUCAGUGGAGGAUUGCAUUUGCACGCUCAAU
rnacentral:snRNA from 1 species